rnacentral:rRNA from 1 species
GAUGAACGCUGGCGGCGUGCCUAAUGCAUGCGAGUCGAGCGAACAGACGAGGAGCUUGCUCCUCUGACGUUAGCGGCGGACGGGUGAGUAACACGUGGAUAACCUACCUAUAAGACUGGGAUAACUUCGGGAAACCGGAGCUAAUACCGGAUAAUAUAUUGAACCGCAUGGUUCAAUAGUGAAAGACGGUUUUGCUGUCACUUAUAGAUGGAUCCGCGCCGCAUUAGCUAGUUGGUAAGGUAACGGCUUACCAAGGCAACGAUGCGUAGCCGACCUGAGAGGGUGAUCGGCCACACUGGAACUGAGACACGGUCCAGACUCCUACGGGAGGCAGCAGUAGGGAAUCUUCCGCAAUGGGCGAAAGCCUGACGGAGCAACGCCGCGUGAGUGAUGAAGGUCUUCGGAUCGUAAAACUCUGUUAUUAGGGAAGAACAAAUGUGUAAGUAACUAUGCACGUCUUGACGGUACCUAAUCAGAAAGCCACGGCUAACUACGUG